rnacentral:rRNA from 1 species
UAGCGGCGAACGGGUGAGUAAUGCCUAGGAAUCUGCCCAUUAGCGGGGGAUAACGUUCCGAAAGGAACGCUAAUACCGCAUACGCCCUACGGGGGAAAGCAGGGGAUCUUCGGACCUUGCACUAAUGGAUGAGCCUAGGUCAGAUUAGCUAGUUGGUGAGGUAAUGGCUCACCAAGGCGACGAUCUGUAGCGGGUCUGAGAGGAUGAUCCGCCACACUGGAACUGAGACACGGUCCAGACUCC